rfam:Puccinia graminis f. sp. tritici CRL 75-36-700-3 supercont2.4 genomic scaffold, whole genome shotgun sequence.
GGUCGAUUAGCUCAGUUGGUUAGAGCGCCGUACUAAUACUUCGGAAUACGAUGCGAUUCCGGCUCGGUACAUGCGGAUGUCAUGGGUUCGACCCCCAUAUUGACCA